rnacentral:lncRNA from 1 species
AAAAAGGCUUCCAACAUGGACAAAUUAAGCCCUUGGGACCGCCUUACAAAGAAUACAUUUUUCCAGUGUCGAACCAAGAUCAAUAGAGAAAAACAAAUAAUUUCAAGUGGGAGUCGUCAUAAUGACACCCAGAGAGAAAGUCCAAGGAUGGUACCAGGGCCUGGGCUGCUUCCUCCUGUUCCAUCAUCUUUGGUGUGUGGGGUCAAUUACACCUACCUGGAGGUCCAGGGGCUGGCAAGGAGGUGGGGCAGGGCCUAGAAAAAG